rnacentral:rRNA from 1 species
UACGUAGGGUGCGAGCGUUGUCCGGAAUUAUUGGGCGUAAAGAGCUCGUAGGCGGUGUGUCACGUCGGCCGUGAAAACCUGCAGCUUAACUGUGGGCGUGCGGUCGAUACGGGCAUCACUGGAGUUCGGCAGGGGAGACUGGAAUUCCUGGUGUAGCGGUGAAAUGCGCAGAUAUCAGGAGGAACACCGGUGGCGAAGGCGGGAUCCUGGACCAAUAUUGACGCUGAGGAGCGAAAGCCAGGGGAGCAAACGGG